UACAGAGAGUGCAAGCGUUGUUCGGAAUUACUGGGCUUGAAGCGCACGUAGGCGGCCUUGUAAGUGUCGGGUGAAAUCCCACGGCUCACCCGUGGAACUGCCCGGCAUACUGCGAUGCUAGAGUGUGGUAGGGGAGAGCGGAACUCCUGGUGGAGCGGUGAAAUGCGUAGAUAUCAGGAGGAACACCGGUGGCGAAGGCGGCUCUCUGGUCCACAACUGACGCUGAGGUGCGAAAGCUAGGGGAGCAAACGGG
rnacentral:rRNA from 1 species